UGCUGAUCCUUAGUUCCUGGGGGACUUCAUUACACAGUCUUGGACUGGUCCCCAAGAAAGCUCUGUCUCCUUUACAGAUGAACUUUACUCUUAUUGUGGAAAGUUCCAUUGUGCCAGAGGAGAGAAGUUAUGGACCAUGGUCCUCAAUGUGGAGCUUCAGUCCAUCUUUUAGAUACCUUGAAGCAGCAGACACGGCUACUGGCUGCACCCAGGCCCUGACACGGAGUUGCCCGGACAGACCAGCUUAUAAAACGAUGCACAGACUUGGACUUCCCUUGUGGCCGUGGCAGCGAUUGAUGGGCUGCAGGCUGCGUUGCCAAGCAAUAAUACCUGCUGAGAGGGAUCCAGAGGUCCCAGCGUGCGCAGCAGUAUCAGGAGGUGGAGGAGACAGCAGAGGUCGCUGAGAGAUGGUUCUGCUCCUGGGACACGUUCUGUCUGUCGUCUGGGCAGCUUCUUCUCUUUGAGGUACUGUUAUCUCUCUGUGAUUGGGGGAGUGAGGUCUUCAUCAGCCUAAUCCUGCCAAGUAUCGUCCUUCCCUGGAACCUGGAAAAACAACAAUAAAAGCCCUUAAUCACCUAA